GCCUCCACGGCGCAAUCGGUUAGCGCGUACGGCUGUUAACCGUAAGGUUGGUGGUUCGAGUCCGCCUGGUGGCG
rfam:Ixodes scapularis strain Wikel colony gcontig_1107728637922, whole genome shotgun sequence.